GUCAGGAUGAUUGAGUGGUCUAAGGUGUCAAACUCAAGUUUUGGUCCUCGUGAGAGGGCGUGGGUUAAAAUUCUACUUUUGACA
rnacentral:tRNA from 1 species